rnacentral:rRNA from 1 species
UACGUAGGUGGCAAGCGUUGUCCGGAUUUACUGGGCGUAAAGAGCGCGCAGGCGGUCGUGCAAGUCGCGUGUGAAAGCCCCCGGCUCAACUGGGGAGGGUCACGCGAUACUGCUCGACUGGAAGGCAGGAGAGGGAAGUGGAAUUCCCCGGUGUAGUGGUGAAAUGCGUAGAUAUCGGGAGGAACACCAGUGGCGAAGGCGACUUCCUGGCCUGUUCUUGACGCUGAGGCGCGAAAGCUAGGGUAGCAAACGGGG